rnacentral:rRNA from 1 species
GCGGCAUGCCUUACACAUGCAAGUCGAACGGCAGCACGGGGGCACCCUGGUGGCGAGUGGCGAACGGGUGAGUAAUAUAUCGGAACGUGCCCUGGAGUGGGGGAUAACUAGUCGAAAGACUAGCUAAUACCGCAUACGAUCUAUGGAUGAAAGUGGGGGAUCGCAAGACCUCAUGCUCGUGGAGCGGCCGAUAUCUGAUUAGCUAGUUGGUAGGGUAAAAGCCUACCAAGGCAUCGAUCAGUAGCUGGUCUGAGAGGACGACCAGCCACACUGGGACUGAGACACGGCCCAGACUCCUACGGGAGGCAGCAGUGGGGAAUUUUGGACAAUGGGGGCAACCCUGAUCCAGCAAUGCCGCGUGAGUGAAGAAGGCCUUCGGGUUGUAAAGCUCUUUUGUCAGGGAAGAAACGGUCCGGGCUAAUAUCCUGGGCUAAUGACGGUACCUGAAGAAUAAGCACCGGCUAACUACGUGCCAGCAGCCGCGGUAAUACGUAGGGUGCAAGCGUUAAUCGGAAUUACUGGGCGUAAAGCGUGCGCAGGCGGUUGUGCAAGACAGAUGUGAAAUCCCCGGGCUUAACCUGGGAAUUGCAUUUGUGACUGCACGGCUAGAGUGUGUCAGAGGGGGGUAGAAUUCCACGUGUAGCAGUGAAAUGCGUAGAGAUGUGGAGGAAUACCGAUGGCGAAGGCAGCCCCCUGGGAUAACACUGACGCUCAUGCACGAA